rnacentral:piRNA from 1 species
AGGCUGAGACCCGAGCCGAGUUUGCAGA